rnacentral:lncRNA from 1 species
ACCGAUUUACUUGAACAUGUGAAAAGUUAAUAUGGCAGAAGAAAACGAAGUUGUUCAGCCUGGAAAUGCUGAUGGAAAUAAAUUAUUUCAUUCCUUGUUUAGACGACCAGAUAAAUUUAAGAUUGGUGACGAUUUUGAUCUGUUCAUUAAGAAAUUGGAAUUGUAUUUUGAAACAGUCGAGCUUGUGGACGAGAAGAAACGAAGGUUUGCUUUGCUGUUUAAUCUCAACGAGGACGCUUUUCGCCUAGCAGAAUCAGUCGAGUUCAUUGAAGAAGCUGAUGCUUACAAGAAUUGGCUUAAGAAG